GUUGAAACACCGAUUCCCGCACGAUCACCGAAGUUAAGCAACGUCGAGCUUGGUCAGUACGUAGAUGAGUGACUGCUUGGCAAUACCAAAUGAUGUAA